rnacentral:rRNA from 1 species
GUGGGGAAUAUUGCGCAAUGGGCGAAAGCCUGACGCAGCAACGCCGCGUGGGUGAUGAAGGCCUUCGGGUCGUAAAGCCCUGUCAGAUGGGAAGAAACCUAGUAAUAGCUGACGGUACCAUCAAAGGAAGCACCGGCUAACUCCGUGCCAGCAGCCGCGGUAAUACGGAGGGUGCAAGCGUUGUUCGGAAUCACUGGGCGUAAAGGGCGCGUAGGCGGGUUUGAAAGUCUGAUGUGAAAGCCCGGGGCUCAACUCCGGAAGUGCAUUGGAAACUUCAAAUCUUGAGUUCGGGAGAGGAAAGCAGAAUUCCCGGUGUAGGGGUGAAAUCCGUAGAGAUCGGGAGGAAAACCAGUGGCGAAGGCGGCUUUCUGGAACGAAACUGACGUUGAGGCGCGAAAGCGUGGGGAGCAAACAGGAUUAGAUACCCUGGUAGUCC